AAUUUUGUGACUUCUAUUCUUACGGUAUCCGGUCUGGACUUACUUCACGAUAGUCAAAGUUAACAUCCAAUACCGUCGUCAAUAAAUGUACCAUCAUUUGCACUGUAGCAAGGGUACGAAGGAAGGUUAAAGUGUAACCGAUGUCACCACGAUCGAAGUUAAUUUCUUUCAUUCAUUAUUAGCUACCAAAUAUGGCUGUUGCCAAGGCAGUGAUCAUAACAUUUAUGUCUUUGUGUUAAUUAGUGACGGACUAAACUGCGAUUUUCCGAUAUCAGUGAUUUCUGUAAAUGCUACUUUUCAGUAUCUGCUAUUCUUAAUCGUGAUUUGUCGCAGUUAUGGAACGUAGGUCGUGUAUCCCUCCGCCACUACUAUUUCUGCGAUUUCUGCUACUUUCGCGAUUUCUGUGACUUCUGCGAUUUCUGUGACUUCUGCGAGUUUUGCGACUUACCACCGUAUGAAAAAGUUACAUCUGCCCACACAGAAAAUUGCAUCUCAACAAAUCUGUCAUUGGUACCCGAACUACAUUUCAGUCACUCAGUAAAUUGAUAACUCAAAAUAUCAUUGUCAACAGAUCUGGAGAAAUUGCCACUGCGUCUUUAGACCGUUUUCGUCAGACGAGAGACACAGUUCUGACUCUUGAUUACUGGAUGCUGUACGUAUCUAUCCACAUCAAGGCUAUUGAGAGAGACUUGUGAAGAUUCAAGACAGCUCUUAGAGGAUUUGCAGUUUAAGCGACAUAAUUGUGAAAUAAGUGUGCAGAUGAGUGAUUAAACUGUGUUUUAUUGAAGUUGUUAUGCGAUUUUAAAGGAAUAAUAAAUGUUAAAUACAG